CUUUCUCACACACUACCUAUGGGAGGAAUGAGCUUUAAGGAAAUAGAAACACAGGUGCUUUCCGAGAGCCAGCGCUAAUGGUUCAACGGACAACAAGAAAACUUCCUUUUCUUUAUCUUUCUUCUCAUUGUUCACCCGAGACUCUCGAAAUAGAACCCUCGACUUGAUUAACAAGUUAGGAAGUAGGAAAUGUGAUUUUAUCAACAUCAUCCCGCUCUCAUUCCUAUCCGGCA
rnacentral:lncRNA from 1 species